rnacentral:rRNA from 1 species
CUACGGGGCGCUGCAGUGAGGAAUUUUGCGCAAUGGGGGAAACCCUGACGCAGCAACGCCGCGUGAGUGAUGAAGGCCUUCGGGUCGUAAAGCUCUGUCAAGUGGAAAGAACCUGCAAAGUGAUAAUACCAUUUUGCACUGACGGUACCACUGAAGGAAGCACCGGUAACUCCGUGCCAGCAGCCGCGGUAAUACGGGGGGUGCAAGCGUUAUUCGGAAUUAUUGGGCGUAAAGCGCGCGUAGGCGGCUUGUUAAGUCAGAUGUGAAAGCCCGGGGCUUAACCCCGGAAGUGCAUUUGAAACUAAUGGGCUUGAGUAUGGGAGAGGGAAGUGGAAUUCCUGGUGUAGAGGUGAAAUUCGUAGAUAUCAGGAGGAACACCGGUGGCGAAGGCGACUUCCUGGACCAAUACUGACGCUGAUGCGCGAAGGCGUGGGGAGCAAACAGGAUUAGAUACCCGGGUAGUC